UGAAAAUGAUUCUAUCAUGAAAAUGUUUGCUGUAUAUUUUUGUUAUUACUUGUUUAUAAUCAUUGCUCUUUCUCAAAAAUCUUUUGGACGAAUUCAGUGUGGAAAUGGGGAAAUUAUUUCAUUGUCAAUGUUUAAGGACUGCCAUUUGGAAAUUCGUAGCAUCUUGGAGUUGAUAUGCAGUUUAUCUUCUCCGAACGCAGAAUUACAUAUUGCUGAUGUUUUACAAGAUAAAUUAAAUGCCACAGAAACACUUAUUUGUGGUUGUUGUACGAAUGCUUGUAGUUUAACAGAAUUAAGGAACUACUGCUGGUUGCAGAAUACUUAGCUGUGACCUUGUCAUGAAAUCUGGAUAUUUAUUUUCAAAUACAAUAGGUUAUUAGAAUGUUCUUGAAAGUUUUGUUUUAGCUGUAAAAUUUUCAUGAUUAUGUAUUUUUGUAUCCUUUUUCCAAAAUUAUACAUACAUUGUACGUUCAUAAAUUUACAAUAAUAGUGUUAAUUUCCCAGGUCAGCAUUAAUAUAAAUAAAAAUGCCAUAGGGUUAUCUUUGGUAUAGGGUUAUA